GAGCUGUGCGGCAGGCUGAGCAGGAAUGGCAAUGUGGACCUCUGUGAUGGGACAACUGGUGGGAUCUCACAUCCAGUUCUGUGUCAAAGGAGGAUGAAGACUAAGGACUCAUGAGGAAGCUGGAUUACUGGACGAGAGCAAUGUAAGCAAUUUUUUUGUAUGCAUGUGGUCCCACUACAAGAGGCCCCUCAACCCACACAUCAAUGUAGAGUUCCAUGAAAGCAAUUGUAGAGAAGAGUGGGUGGGAGAUCUGAAGCCAGACAGGGCAUUGUGUGUCUAGGUAUCUGAAGAGGCUGGUUCUUGAUAACUCUGGGAGCUAGUGUGAUUGAACACAGGAUUUAUAAUUGUGCUAUUUAGACCAGAUUUGGUGGGCACUUUCCCUAUCUUAAGUGCUGAGUCAGGUCUAACAGGGCAGUUUUAACUAUUUGUUUGAUCUUGUAGGUUCUAGAAGGGAAGACCAGAAAAUGAGAUGGUAAGUGAAACUAAAGGAAUUGUAGAUGCUAAACAGGCCAAACAAAUGGCUUGGCAUUGUUG
ensembl:processed_transcript